AUUUUGGUAGAACAUAUAUACUAAAAUCAGAACAAUGCAGAAAAGAUUAGCAGGGUUCUUGCAUGAGGAUGACAUAUAAAUCAGUGAAGCACUAGAUGUUGAU